rnacentral:rRNA from 1 species
UCGCAUAACGACUCUCGGCAACGGAUAUCUCGGCUCUCGCAUCGAUGAAGAACGUAGCGAAAUGCGAUACCUGGUGUGAAUUGCAGAAUCCCGCGAACCAUCGAGUCUUUGAACGCAAGUUGCGCCCGAAGCCACCAGGCCGAGGGCACGUCUGCCUGGGCGUCACGCA